AAAGAGAAUAUUGUCCUAAAAUUAAGACAUAAAUAAGUGUUAGGAAUGACAGUAAUGGGCUGCACUACAUUCUUUUAAAGAACUUAAUGUGUACAACCUAGAGAGGGCCAAAUGCAGAUAUUUCUAAAAUUAUCACAGUAAUUUGAUAUAUUCAGUGGCUAAUAUUCUUGUUUUAGCAUGCACACAUAACUUGGGGAAGUGUGGGCCGGAGGGAUAGAAAAUAAAAAACAUUAAACCAUA
rnacentral:lncRNA from 1 species